AUUGAACGCUGGCGGCAGGCCUAACACAUGCAAGUCGAGCGGAUGAAGGGAGCUUGCUCCUGGAUUCAGCGGCGGACGGGUGAGUAAUGCCUAGGAAUCUGCCUGGUAGUGGGGGAUAACGUCCGGAAACGGGCGCUAAUACCGCAUACGUCCUGAGGGAGAAAGUGGGGGAUCUUCGGACCUCAAGCUAUCAGAUGAGCCUAGGUCGGAUUAGCUAGUUGGUGGGGUAAAGGCCUACCAAGGCGACGAUCCGUAACUGGUCUGAGAGGAUGAUCAGUCACACUGGAACUGAGACACGGUCCAGACUCCUACGGGAGGCAGCAGUGGGGAAUAUUGGACAAUGGGCGAAAGCCUGAUCCAGCCAUGCCGCGUGUGUGAAGAAGGUCUUCGGAUUGUAAAGCACUUUAAGUUGGGAGGAAGGGCAGUAAGUUAAUACCUUGCUGUUUUGACGUUACCAACAGAAUAAGCACCGGCUAACUUCGUG
rnacentral:rRNA from 1 species